rnacentral:rRNA from 1 species
GAUUGAACGCUGGCGGCAUGCUUUACACAUGCAAGUCGAACGGCAGCGCGGGCUUCGGCCUGGCGGCGAGUGGCGAACGGGUGAGUAAUGCAUCGGAACGUGCCCAGUAGUGGGGGAUAGCCCGGCGAAAGCCGGAUUAAUACCGCAUACGACCUGAGGGUGAAAGCGGGGGACCGAAAGGCCUCGCGCUAUUGGAGCGGCCGAUGUCGGAUUAGCUAGUUGGUGGGGUAAAGGCUUACCAAGGCGACGAUCCGUAGCUGGUCUGAGAGGACGACCAGCCACACUGGGACUGAGACACGGCCCAGACUCCUACGGGAGGCAGCAGUGGGGAAUUUUGGACAAUGGGGGCAACCCUGAUCCAGCCAUGCCGCGUGCGGGAAGAAGGCCUUCGGGUUGUAAACCACUUUUGUUCGGGAAGAAAUCCUCUGGGCUAAUACCCCGGGGGGAUGACGGUACCGGAAGAAUAAGCACCGGCUAACUACGUG